rnacentral:rRNA from 1 species
AUCGAACGCUGGCGGCAGGCCUAACACAUGCAAGUCGAGCGGAGCGGCGGACGGGUGAGUAAUGCCUAGGAAUCUGCAUGGUCGUGGGGGAUAACGUCCGGAAACGGGCGCUAAUACAACCUACUAUCAGGCGGCGCUAGGUCGGCUUAGCUAGUUGGGGGGGGAAAGGCCUACCAAGGCGACGAUCCGUAACUGGUCCGAGAGGAUGAUCAGUCACACUGGAACUGAGACACGGUCCAGACUCCUACGGGAGGCAGCAGUGGGGAAUAGUGGACAAUGGGCGAAAGCCUGAUCCAGCCAAGCCGCGUGGGUGAAGAAGGUCUUCGGAUUGUAAAGCACUUUAAGUUGGGAGGCGUUACCAACAGAAUAAGCACCGGCUAACUUCGUGCCAGCAGCCGCGGUAAUUC